rnacentral:piRNA from 1 species
UUGCAGUGUGCUACAAAUAUGGGCCCCUGGU